GCUGACGUAGCUCAGUGGAUAGAGCAUUUGCCUCCGGAGCAAAGGGCCGUGGGUUCGAGUCCCUCCGUCAGCG
rnacentral:tRNA from 1 species